CUCGUAGCUCAGUCGGUAGAGCACUAGACUUUUAAUCUAGGUGUCCCGGGUUCGAACCCCGGCG
rnacentral:tRNA from 1 species